AGCCUUUAGCAAAACAAGUAUUAAAGGUGAUGCCUGCCCAGUGAAAUUUAAACGGCCGCGGUAUCCUAACCGUGCAAAGGUAGCGUAAUCACUUGUCUUAUAAAUGAAGACCUGUAUGAAUGGCUAUAUGAGUAUUUAACUGUCUCCUUUAACCAAUCAGUGAAACUGAUCUCUCAGUACAAAAGCUGAGAUAAACACAUAAGACGAGAAGACCCCGUGGAGCUUUAAAUUUUUAACAACACACUACUUAAAUAUGUUUAUGAUAAAAAAUUUUUAGUUGGGGCGACUUUGGAGAAAAACUAAUCCUCCAAGAAAAGGUACCGCCUACUUUAGGCCUACAAGCCAAACUACAUAGACCCAGUAUUAAAUACUGAUCAACGAACCAAGUUACCCCAGGGAUAACAGCGCCAUCUUCUUCAAGAGUUCAUAUCGACAAGAAGGUUUACGACCUCGAUGUUGGAUCAGGACACCCAAAUGGUGUAGCCGCUAUUAAAGGUUCGUUUGUUCAACGAUUAAUAGUCCU
rnacentral:rRNA from 1 species